ACAAGUAUUUCUCUCUGUCUAGAGUUUCUGAAAUUUCAUAUUUUUCUAUAAUAUAUCUUCAUUAUUUGCUAUAUCUUUUCAGAUUCUACUACGUAAGUAUAAAGAACAAUCCAUUCGUAAACAUUGUACCGACUAUCUCGUAGAAUGCACUCUUACAAAUUUCAUUAUCAACACAUAAAUAUAACCAAUACCUUUCAUAGCAGAUGCAACCUUGUCCACACUUUACAGUCACAAAACCAGUAUGACAUAUUACGAGUACGUGUGCGCAGUGUGUACAAUAGACGACCAGAAAAACAUAAUACAAUUCUUGAAAUUACACAGAUAAAGGGAUUUUUUCUCAUAAAACACUUAUCUAUGAAAUAUUUUAUAAAUGCUUGGUUCUUGUAUAUAUUAUUUUGUAAAUGUGGUUACUGUUGUUUUCCAAAUAUUGAUAAAACUAUCUAUAAAAGCCUGUCGGUUUUGUAGCAAUACCAGUAACCUCACCAGACGGAGUGUAGAUACUGUUAAUACAGAUACUAAAAGGCUGCAGCAUAACGAAAAUGUGUACCAAAACGUCUUCUAAACGAAGGUUUUCUAAUAAAGUUUAGUGACGACCAAGGUCGUUAAAAUACCCUAUUAUUUUUUAAUCGCUUAGUGAAUGUUACAGAAACAAAUUUUGUGACAUUUCAAUAAUGGGCAUAAUUGUUUAAGAUGCAAUUUUAAAAUUCAUAAUAUAAUAGAACUACCUAAAAUUUGCGUUUUUGUAUUUCUAUAAUUAUGAGACCACAGAGGAACACACGUUUAAAACUGUCUUGCCCUAUGCAAUACACAUUUCAAAUGGUACUUUAUUCUUUCUGGAAUAACGUCUAAUUAAUAUUGUGUUUGUCUUUAAAAAAAACUUCUAGAUGUGUUUAUGUAAUCGUUUCAAUAAAUGAACAAUAUGAUAAUCUGGUUCCUUAUGCGUCAACAUUUUUACAAACUUAAGACACUGUUAAAACACAAUUUUAAUGUGUUCGUAUGCAAAAGUACUCUUAUCAAUAUGUUUUAGUUUUAGUUUAGUUUAUUUCACAAGUUCCAAAAGGUAAAAAAAAACACGAGGACAACAUAUUUACAAGCAAUAAAUGGCCCGACAGCGCUUACAAAGUAUAUGAUAAUAAACAUAUACAUGCAGGUGGUAAAAGAAAAAAAAACAGAAAAAAAAUCGUUUCAAUACAUGAGAGCAUAUAUAUAUCAACUUGUAACGUGUAUAAUGUCAUCGUUGUCUUUGAAUCUAAACUUUGUUUCCUUUUUGUAACCACAAAGUCUCGUAGUAUUUUCACCAGGCUAUUGCUAAUUUGGGACUUCUACUUUUCUCUGUAAUGUCUUAAAUAUAACCUUAACCUUCCUCAACUGUAAAAUAACAUCCUUCUAUAAUCCAUUGUAACAGCUGAGUAGCUUUUAAAACUCCAAAGAUCACCUUCUCCCUCACCUUUAUAUUUGUUUUAGUUUUUCUCUGACGGAUUUCCCAAUGUUUCAUAAAACUGUGUAAUUACAUAAUUUAUAUAUGCUCACCUGUUGUCACUAUACAUGUAUGUUCAUGGCAGUAUGUGACCUGUGAAUAUAAUAAAGAUGUCUUAUUGUU